GACACCCAGUUAAAUUUGAAUUUCAGAUAGACAAUAAAUAUGUUUUAGUGAAGGUAUGCAAUAUUUGGGACAUACUUAUGCUAAAAACAUAUUCAUUGUUAAUCUGAAAUUCAAAUUUAACUGAGUGUCCAGU
rnacentral:miRNA from 1 species